rnacentral:rRNA from 1 species
CUUGGUCAUUUAGAGGAAGUAAAAGUCGUAACAAGGUUUCCGUAGGUGAACCUGCGGAAGGAUCAUUAACAAAUUUGGUGGGUUGUGCGUAAUGCAUGACCCAUAUUCACUCGGGCCAUCAAGCUCCCUUGGGGGCGUGGUGGUCCGGUACAUUAACGCUUGUUUGUUUGACUGAGUAUUAUGGCUAAUAAAAUGACAACUUUUAACAAUGGAUCUCUUGGCUCUUGCAACGAUGAAGAACGCAGUGAAAUGCGAAAAGUAAUGCGAUUUGCAUGAAUCCGUGAGUCAUCGAAUCUUUGAACGCACCUUGCACUCUCUGGGCAACCAGUGAGUAUACCUGUUUGAGAAUCGUAAAUGUAUUCUUGUCUCUAGUUUUGAGGCAGACGUGAGGGUUCUUGCUGAAGAGCGAGUCCCUUUAAAUGGAGCAGGAUUGUUCUGGGCGUAGGGUCUGGACAUUGUGUGUUGGAGACCUCGUGUCUACUCGCAAUUUGCUUAGGCCGCUUGCCUUGGGCACUUUCUACAAAACCACUUUGAUUCUGAUCUCAAAUCAGGUAAGACUACCCGCUGAACUUAAGCAUAUCAGUAAGCGGAGGAAAAGAAACUAACAAGGAUUCCCCCAGUAACGGCGAGUGAAGCGGGAAGAGCUCAAAUUUAAAAUCUGGCAGCAAUGCCCGAAUUGUAAUUUAAAGAGACACUUUCUGGUCCUGGCACCGUGUUCAAGUCCCUUGGAAUAGGGCAUCACAGAGGGUGAGAAUCCCGUCUGGACACGGCACCAGGGCCUCUACGGGGUGUUCUCAAAGAGUCGAGUUGUUUGGGAAUGCAGCUCAAAAUGGGUGGUAAAUCUCAUCUAAGGCUAAAUAAUGGCAAGAGACCGAUAGCGAACAAGUACCGUGAGGGAAAGAUGAAAAGCACCUUGAAAAGGGAGUUAAAUAGCGCGUGAAAUUGUUAAAAGGGAAACGAUUGAGACCAGUGUUGCCGCGUGGGGCAACCUGCGUGGCAAGUCAGCGUUGGUUUGUGCCGCUCGACAAAGGCCAGAGGAAGGUGGUGCACACCCUCGGGUAUGCAUUUUAUAGACUCUGGCUCACCAGCGGCGCAGACCGAGCCUAGUAGGUGAUUCUCCGCCGGAAUAGCCGGAGGUGUAAGGAUGUGGACAGCUUGCUGACCAUGUUCCCAAGCCGCCGAGGACGCCGGCGCGUCACUAUCUGUGCUGACGAAAUGGUCUUAAACGACCCGUCUUGAAACACGGACC